rnacentral:rRNA from 1 species
GUUUGAUCCUGGCUGAGGAUGAACGCUGGCGGCGUGCUUAACACAUGCAAGUCGAACGAUGAUCUCCAGCUUGCUGGGGGGAUUAGUGGCGAACGGGUGAGUAACACGUGAGUAACCUGCCCUUGACUCUGGGAUAAGCCUGGGAAACUGGGUCUAAUACCGGAUAUGACCAUCUGGCGCAUGUCAUGGUGGUGGAAAGCUUUUUUGUGGUUUUGGAUGGACUCGCGGCCUAUCAGCUUGUUGGUGGGGUAAUGGCCUACCAAGGCGACGACGGGUAGCCGGCCUGAGAGGGUGACCGGCCACACUGGGACUGAGACACGGCCCAGACUCCUACGGGAGGCAGCAGUGGGGAAUAUUGCACAAUGGGCGCAAGCCUGAUGCAGCGACGCCGCGUGAGGGAUGACGGCCUUCGGGUUGUAAACCUCUUUCAGUAGGGAAGAAGCGUAAGUGACGGUACCUGCAGAAGAAGCGCCGGCUAACUACGUGCCAGCAGCCGCGGUAAUACGUAGGGCGCAAGCGUUAUCCGGAAUUAUUGGGCGUAAAGAGCUCGUAGGCGGUUUGUCGCGUCUGCUGUGAAAGACCGGGGCUCAACUCCGGUUCUGCAGUGGGUACGGGCAGACUAGAGUGCAGUAGGGGAGACUGGAAUUCCUGGUGUAGCGGUGAAAUGCGCAGAUAUCAGGAGGAACACCGAU